rnacentral:lncRNA from 1 species
AAAUGCAUGCUAUGCAUCAACUUGAGAUCAUGCAAAGUAUAUGCUUGCUCAAAUAACUCAUACCUGCCACGACAUCGUCGGCAACGGCAGGCACCGCAACUCGGGUCGCAUGCCCAAGGUCACUUGGCACUUUCCGCGAACCCUCCGGUUGCAUUGUUCUCAACGGCCGCUCUCCUGACCAUGCCGCAGGUGGCACACCUGCAGGCUGUCCCAGAGAGGAAUAGGGCAUCGCUAGCGUCAAGGCCAGGCUAUCGCCUUUGCGGACACUUGUCCCGCACAUGGCCCGACAGCCCACACCUGAAGCACUUGCCCUCACGCUGUUCACACUGUUACGGGCAAUGAGGGCCCCCACAAAUAACACAUCUCGCCGAGGACCGAAUGUGGUAAGUCCCCGGAGCUCGGGAUCGCAAGCGCGAACUUAUCGAAGUUCGUUAGGAACUUGACUGACCAUCAUGUCCACUUGCUGGCUGUCCUUUCCCCUUUCCUUGUAGUAUGCCUCGUGCUCCUCCCGUAGGGAUUCCUCACCUUGUUCUAUCCACAAGGCCCGAUCCCGGACGUCGGCGAAAGUCUGCAACUUAUGUGCAAGCACAGUCUUGCAAAGGUCUGGCCGAAGUCCACGCACAAGGCAGUCGGCCAUGUCCUUGUCAUCCCGCGCUACGUUCGGGACGCAACACACGACACGGGAGAAUUCCCGCUCGUAUCGCCCCAUGGUGCUGUUUACUUGCCACAGCUUCGGAAACCCUUCUGAAGCUUCCUCGCUCACCGUCGGGGAAGUGAACGGAGAAUACCCAUUCCCGAACUUAUCCCAGACCAUAGGAGGGAUACCAGGCAAUCAGUUCCGUCGAAUGCCUUUCCACCACACCUUUGUCGACUGUUUACAAGCAGCGUACGGCUAGGUGUGCCCUUCCUCACUCUACAACGCAUAGAUCCCCAAAGGGAGUCUCGCUCUCGGUUCGUCACCAGCAGCUUGCCGGCACCGACCAAUCACCAAUUUCUUUAGGUAGGCGACAUACCACCACGACUUAUGCAUGCUGGGUGACUCCUCUGACCUACAUACUGGUCUCUACUAUACCAAUAUGUAAAUAAUAGUAAAAGACCACAAGCAAAUGCAUACAAGUGCUCAAACUACUUCAUGCUAGAAUGUAUGAUUGCUUUAGUUAAAUCAUACCUGCGGUAACAUCACCAAUAGCAGCAGGUCCCUCGACGUGAGCCGCGUAUCCAGGGCCGCUUGGCGCCUCCUGUGAAUCCUCUGGCUGCUCGACCACCCCCAGCCCUCCAGACUGUGCCACAGGCUGCACAUCCACCAUCUGUCCCGAAGAGGUGAAUGUCGAUGCUGUCGGUGGGAGUUGUCCAUCACCCAUGGGGCAACCAUGUCUCACGUGGCCAGAUUGCCCGCAACGAAAACACCUUCCCUUUCGUAGCGCACACCGCCGCGCCUGGUGGGAUCCUCCACAAAUCACACACCCCGCAGAUACUGCAGUAGCAGACGGAACUCCACCAAACUGUCGCUGAAUCUCUGAGGCGGAUACAACUGACGGGGCAGGUGGCACUCCUUCCGUGCACUGACGGGCCAUAUGUCCCGCCCGACCACACUUGAAGCACCGUCCCGCCCGAUCCCUACAAUUCCCCGCGCGAUGUUCUCCACCGCAGAUCACGCACCGCAUAGGUCCUUGUCUAAUGGACCGCCCCUUUUGGUACUUCGGGGCCUUUUUGGAACUAGACUGUUCCCCCGAACCGCCACGAGGCCGUUUCUUCACUCCACUCUCCUUGAACGCCUCGCGUUCCUGUCUCACUUCGCCAGCUGCCGCAUCGAGUAUCGUAGGACCCGAAGCCGCCAGAGGAACACAAGCCGGCAGGGGAUGCACCACCGCCGGAGUCACCAAAAUGCUCACGCCCUCAGGAGCAUCAGGCGCGCGAGCCGAGGGCGCGGGCGGACCAUGGCCUUCAGUUGUCGUUACGGCCGCCGUCGCCACUUGUCGCUCUAAAAGCUCUUGGAGCCACUCGAUCUGACCUCCUUGGCGUUGAAUCACGCCGAUAAGCGUAGUCAUCUGCGCUCGUAAUUCUUGCACUUCACUUGACCCAGCUUGCUUAGGCACCUCGGGAGGCGGUGCCGGAACAAAUCCACGCGCGUAGUGUCUCCUUGGUGCCAUUAGCUCCUGAAACACAACAACUCGGUUAAUUACCUUAACCUGCUAACCUCGUCGCAACUAUUAGAUGACACGACUCAAUCGGGCGAAAGUCAUACAAGGGUGCCUAUUCUCACCACUCAGUUUCAUGUUGUAUGCAUCCAACAUGAACACCCUCGGGUGAGAAUAAACAAAACCUUGAGUCCACCUCUAACAUCCGUCUUAGAGGUUUACCAACUUGACCCAAUCGAUCCAACUUUCGCCACCGUAUAGGUUCACGUCACUCACGCACCUAUAACCUUAGGGUUCACCGUCCUAGGGUCUCUUAGGUCCAUCCUAAACUCUCUCUUUACUUGCUCUUAAUUGCUCUGAUACCACUUUAUCUGUCACGCCCCGCGACCACUACCAACUUGGCUCCGCCCGGGCGCGUCGAACAGACGCCGGACGGACAACACCUCCCCUGUCCGCCCAAGGCUAACAACGAGAUUGUGUACAACAAGUUCCCAGAAAAAUAACUUGAAUACAUACACAAUCGAUAACUACAACGAGAGCACAAUCAGUGCAAAACAACCAAGAGCAAGAUACAAGUAUAGAACAUACAAGUAAUGAUAAAGAGAGUAACAUCUAUCUAUUACAUUCAUUCAGCCUUUAUAAUACAAUUUGAUUAUACAUUAAGCUUCUAAACAUAAUAUAAAGCUUACAUCUUCCAAAAUAUAAACAUUAGCUUACAUUCAUUCGAGAAUAUCUCACAUCCUAUACAUCAUCUACUCUCAAUGCAUAUAAAGGUGACUCUAAUGCAGAAAUAGGAAAGUAGACUAAUGCAACUAGGGCGCUAGGCCCUUACCGCGAUCCUGGCCGUGUGAACUCGCGCUCGGCCCUGUAGUAAAAUGGGGUUGAGAACUAACUUCCUCAGUUCCCAGCGGGUUCGGCCGCCGACUCCGCCGAUCUUCCCACUAGGUCCAAGUGGGCACAAGUAGAUAAUCGAUAGAUAGAUAAGGAAAGCGGUAAAUGACAGAAGUAAAGCUACUCUACUAUGCCCAAUCAUAAAUAUAUGAAUGCAUGUACAAUGAAAUAGGUAAGCACUAACCUGUUAUCAUGUCCAAAGGUAAAGCUAUUCACUCGUUCAUUAACCUCAUUUACUUGUUCAUUAAUCUCAUGGCUUACCCGAAGGCUCGCCUACAGCUCACUAGCCAUCUCGACGCGUAGGGAGAAUUAACUCAUACUACGAACCCUAGACCGUCUGGCGGGGCCAAAAUAGGCAAUCCCUUGGGACCCAAAAUAGGCAAUCCCACGUGACCAACUCCGGAGCGCACUACUUGUGUGGGGCUUCCAUCACAAGAUUUAAAACAGACCGUGAGCAUGAUCCAAUCCUCUAAGCUCGAGGAUACCCUGUCCUCCAGGGUCACAAUCAUCAUAUAGUCCAUAGGUUUCAUAUACACUACGACUCACAUAUGUCACUCGUUCUUUUGUUUACUAUCAACUAGAUGCCACUCGUUCUUUACAAGUUUCCAAUGCAAUAGCCAAUACAUUACUAAAUUCCCAUCCACACUUAUCAUCUCAUUAUAGGGUUCCACAUCACAUAUAUAAACCUCAAGCAUGCUAGAUAUAAGUACUAAGCCAAAUACAUUAUUCUACCAAAGAACAUGCAAGGUAUAGGACCAAACCAUCAUUUAUCACCCUAUAAUGCAAGAUGUCAAUAUGCAAUUUGAUCAAUAUAAACUUAGACAUAAAAGGGAGCCCGAUUGCUUCGGGAUGGACACCACCCACCUUUUAUAGCGUUCCGAUUGCUCGUCGUCACUCGCAAUCGGCCUCCUGCGGCGCACGCCGCACGGCUCGACCCAACUCACGCGCGACUGCCAAAUGACCUCCUAUCCGCGAUCCGUCUGUUCUGGAGUUUAUUCCCCGACACCACGAUGCUACGAUUCCAUUUCCAUGAUUUUAGGAAGCUUUCGCCGCGAGCUGCGGCAAUCUGUACCAAAAUCGGCCUCUUCUUCGAUAUCUUUGUAACGGCUCGACGGAUUGCCAAACCGUCGCUUUCAACGCGUUCAGUGACCUAUCAAUUAGGUUUAUAUACAACCAAUUUAGAUCAAACCCAUCUAUUUGCAAAAAUAGCAUUUUGAGCCCUAGAUUUGCUACUAUGCAAAAAUCCACCAUUAAAGCUUAGGAUUCAAGCAUCAAACCUUUAAUUAGUAUGCUAGAGUACCUCUAAACCCAUUCUUAGAGUUCAAAACCCAAACUAUAGAAAGCUACCAUUGUUGAGCAUCAAAAGCUUACCUUAGAGCUUGCUCCAAUGGCCUAAAGAGGAAGAAGAAGAAGAUGAAGCCCACUUCUUCAAGCUUUCUCCUCCAUCUCCACCUUCUUGCUCCACUUCUUAGAGAGAGAAAGAGAGAGUUUUAGAGAGAGAGAGAGGGGCUACGGUUGAGGGAAAUGAGAAAGGGAGAGAGCCAUCCCCUCUCUUUGUCUCUAAGUCAUGUAACAAAUACAAUAAGCCCCCUCAACUCUUAGCCUCUCAAACAGCCCAAAAUGGGCAUUUUCGCGCUCGGGGACCGGUCCUUGCGGUGAGAGACCGGUCCCCGAAGGACCAGAAUUUCAGCAUUUUUAGGACUUAGCCAAAUUUCAGCCUUUUUCACCGUUUCUUCUCCGUUUUCGCCCGUUUUCGCUCGUUUGACCUCCGAUUCGUUUCAAAUCGAACCGAGCCUCUUCAAACAUGUUUUCGAGCAUGUUUUUAUUAUCUUUUCAUCCACGCUAAUGCCGGAUUUAGCUCACGGCCCAACAUGGCCUUUCGGCUCCGUUUUAGCGCCUACGCACACCGAAACCCCCGAAUGCUUCCGGGCCUCACCGAAUUUCACCGGAACCUUGCAAAUGGUCUUCCAACCAAAUGUACACCGUAACUUCAUGAUUUUAGAAGUCCGAUACCUUACAUCCACCCCUCCUUAAAAGGACUUUCGUCCUCGAAACUAACUCACCUCAAACCCAAUUCACACCCUAAUUCUCUUUAUUGAGUGACAAGGGGUACAGUGCACUUUUGCAUCCCGGAGUGGCCUUGCGCUUAUUGGAACUAUCCGAAGGCCCACUACGGAGGACGUGAGACUAAAUUCGCUCACAUUCGCUGUGUGUAAGUCCAAAAGUGCAUUACGGGUCUCCGUCAUUCUGGGUGGUAGCGCAAGUCGAAAUUCAACGACUCUACGCCCUCCACACCAUUCACUAACUGGCCCACUAAGGCCGAACCACUUCCUUCGAGACCGGGACUACCCGCUAUCCUCAUGGUGUGGAGCUAUCAAGAACGCACCAAUAGUCAUAUGGUCCACCACCACGACACAGCACACACGGGUAAGCCCUCUAGAAUCACCUGAGUGUCAACAAAGCGGCGCUCCGCCACUUUGGCUAUCCAAGAGUUCGUAUUUCUCAUUUACGACUCUUCGUCACUUUCACCAUCCCUCUAGGGGUCACACUCCAAUUCGAUCACCAAUAUCGCUUAGAAGCAAUAUCAUUGGUGCAUCGACCCACUGCGAGUGCUCCAAUCGCAUUUGGAUCUUUGCUCUAUUGAGAGAUGGCCUACUCCGGCGCAUCUCGAAUCUUAAUCCACAAAGAGCAUUAUCCUCAAGCUCUCCACCCGCGUUCCAAACAUGACACCAAGCCCGUCUGGGCAAAUUUCACGCUCGGGACCGGUCUCUCUCCUGCCUGGGACCGGUCCAGAGGACCUCCUCAAUCUCACGUGUUCGGGAACCGGUCCUCUGGCCUAGGACGGUUGCCUCGCGCUUGCGCACACCCUCAGACCUCGAGGCAACCGGUCCUUCCCUCCUGGACGCGUCCCGAGAGCAAGCUCGCGUAGACAACCGUUCCGCGAACGCGGUCCCUCCCACCAGGACCCGAUCCCCGAGAGCAAGUUUGCCAAGUGCAAAUUCUUGCACAUUUCUCUCGCGACUCCAUUGAAUGCACUUUUGGUGCAUUUUGACUUCUUCGGCUUUCCGAAACACCUCACUCGACAAUUAGUCGAUUUGAGUGAAGUCCAACUCUCAUUUUGAGAAUUCACUUCCUUGCACCAACUCCUCCACGGAGUUACUGGCUAAACCGAUUAUGUCGGCUUCCACAGGUGGACCAACAGUCACCAACACCACGUAGGCCUACUGCCCCCCAACCCACAUCGCUCACAAAUCGAGGCUCUCGCUCGCAUCGUAGACCCAAUCAUCAUUGGGCGAAAUUCUCAUUGGAGAAUUCGCACACACUCCAACUAGGAGCAACCAAGACCCCAAACCACGUCAAGUCCUCGGGUUGGGUCACAACCGCACUCUCAGUGCAUCAUCAAUUUCACGAUCCAACACGUGGCAUUCCACACUCCAAGGUCUAAGCUCGGACUACCGUCCUGACCAAAACUCUCCGCCCUACCUAUAGGUAUUAGGCCGCUGCCUCUCGCAGCUGACUGCGCCUGCCAAAUGGGCCCAGGCUCCACAGUCCACGAAGGGUCCAGGCACGGGUCGUCCCCAAGCACUACCCGCUAACGUCGUCCUACACGACACACUCUACAGAGCUACGCACUCUACCGGCUCCUAGGCACCUAAUGCGAGCCACUAGCCCUACGAGUGAUCUAUCGCCCGCUUCACACUUAUGUUAAGGAUUUUAUAGGUUGGCGAAUUUCGUAAAGUUGUUUGGAGUCUUGAAGAGUUGAUCGCAGAAGUUAUUCAAAUUGGAGAACGAAGACUCAUUCGGAAAGCUCGACACCUAAGGUAUGAAGAAAAGAUCAUUUGUGGUGAAGAUACCUAAUUAGAAUAAGUUCAGAAGGCUUAGAUUGCUUUAAAAUAAUUUUUCUGAACUUUCAUGUGUUUUGGGACCGGUCCCUGAAGUGGAGAGACCGGUUCCCCUAAGGUCCUCACUCCGUGAGUUCUGAUGCAACCGGUCCCCUGAGAUGAGAGACCGGUUCCCGAAUCUUGGUAGUUCUGUCGCGCAGCGAGGGACCGGUCUCAAGCUUGAGAGACCGGUUCCCGAACACUGAGUUUUUGAACACGCAGAGAGGGACCGGUUCCUCACUUGAGAGACCGGUCUCUCACAGACCGGUCUCCUCGAGAAGACCGGUCUCUGAGGACGACACAGGUUUUUAAAAACGACUUUUUGCAAUCCUAGUCUACUUCUAAGUCUUCUAAACAUAUAAAUAAGCUAUGUGGGUCAUCUAAAAAUUAAGGCUUUGAAUAUUUACCAAUUCUAAACCCUAGAAACUUAUUUCUCUCCGUUUCAAUGCUUAGAUUUACAUGAUGAGUUUCUAGCAAUCAACAUCGGCUUGAUUCUUCGUUGUUACUCAAUAAUUCUUACGAGAAUCAAGUAGAUGUUUGAUAAAAGGUGAACUCCCAUAGCUUAUGGUUUUCAAAAGUUAAAUCACCACAAAUCUUCGAUUCUACAAGCUCCGGAAGGAGGUUCGGCGCGUGGAUCUCGCGUGAAGCCGAGGAUUCGGUGGACGCUUCGAGGAGUUGAUGCAUUGACGCUGCGUGGAGUUGCAGCAAGGUCGAUUGGUGGAUUCCUAUCGAUCGAGGACCGGCAAAGAUCACCGUCAACAAGAAAUCGGUAAAUUGAGUCGUGUAAUUUCGUCGAAAUCACUUGUACUCGAGUUUUCUUUCUGGAUUUUCUUUGCGUGAUCGGUCCCGUGGGUUUUUCACUCCGAUUUGGAGUUUUCCCACGUUAAAUUCUCGGUGUGCUGUUUUAAUUUUUGCUACUUUAUUUUGUUUGCAUCGGGUUUUUCGAGUUUGCCGGAUUUACACCUAUUCACCCCCUCUCUAGGUGUUACUUACCUUUUAGAUCCUUGGGAUCCAUAUCUCACAAGUGGUAUCAGAGCGGGUAUAGGCUGUAAUACAUGGCUGAGGGCGGUAACAUCAAUCGACCCCCGCUCUUCGAUGGCACUAACUACGCCUAUUGAAAAGUCCGUAUGAGGGCGUUCCUUAUUGCUAUUGACGAGCGGGUUUGGCAAGCCAUUGAAUUCGGAUGAAAAAAUCCUACCGAAGUAAUCGAGAAUGUUACUGUGCCGAAACCUAGAAAUAAAUGGACGAAAGAGGAAAAUGAACUAUCUUCGUUCAACGGAAAAGGUAUCAAUGCUUUAUUCAAUGCUUUAAAUCAAACUGAAUUUUCUCGCGUCUCGGCGUGUGAAACGGCCAAAGAGAUUUGGGACACUUUGCGAGUUACACACGAGGGUACAAGCUUGGUUAAGAUUCAAAAAUUGCAAAUGCUUACUAGUAGAUUUGAUUCCAUCCAUAUGGAAGAACAUGAAUCUUUUACCGAGUACUAUACUCGUUUGCAAGACAUUGUAAACACGUGUGCUAACUUGGGCGAGAAAAUCUCCGAUUUCCAAAAGUGUAUCGAAAAAUUUGAGAACCCUUCCGAACGAUUCCGUCCUAAGGUUGCGCUAUUUGAAACGGUCAAACAUUCCUGAUGAACUCAAAGUGAAGAAUUAGUAAGGUGCUCUUCAAACUUUAUGAAAUGACUUUUCCUUCUAAUUCGUCUUCUUCCAAGUCUUUUUCUAAAGCUUCAGGGAUGCUCUAAAAUCAACAAAAGGAGAUGUCACUUCAACCUUCAACAGAUUCAGAGUCGGAGCAAAGCUUGGAGGACUUUGAGAAACAACUUGCACUUCUAACAAAGAAGUUUCGUCGAAACUUUAGAGAAGAAGUUCCUUCCAAGUCUACUUCAUCCAAGACAAACAAAUCUAAAGGGGUUCGUCUUCUUCUUUCUCAACAAAAUACAAGAAUUGAAUAACUCUCAAAAGGACUCCACAAAAGAGAAGAAAGUGGUAUCAGAGCCAGAGGUCACGGGUUCGAUUCCUGCAUGCUGCAAAUGUGGCAGGUGCUGGAGGGGGGAUUGUUGGCUGUAAAUGAGGCCAGCAUCCUGCCUGUGGCGGGAGCCAUGUGGCGAGUCAUGUUCGAAAUGGCGUGAGUGCUGCGGUUGGGCCGAGUCAUGUUCGAAGUGGCGUGAGGCCAGGUGGGCCGAGUCACAAUCGAGACCCAUGGGCGCUGUUUCUGUACGCUUAAGUGAAUUGGUUGCGUAUUUCUAACAGCUCGAGCUUUUGGGAUUAAUGGUUAGCGCCAACGAUCCGACAACUUAGCCCUGCUAAAGUGCUACUGCCAAUUCACUCAAGCGGCUGAAUCGAAACCGCACUUCACGCGUAACUACAUUCGAGCGCUCUACGUCUCUACAGCGUCUCACACGAAGUCUAGCAUCAGGCAACUUAGCCUAUGCACGCCGGCCACACGAGCAACAACUCGUCCACCUCAGUUCGAGGUACUACUAGGCCCACAGGCCAAGUUCGGCGCUAAUCGACCAAUUUCGCAACAGUGGUUCAUCACCAUUGUUCGAUCUAUCGAGUCCACGUCGGAAAUACUCUUGGGAUAUCCGGGUGUCCCCAAACAUCAAGGCUCAACUCUUGCAAUAUCUAAUCUAUUGCAUCGAGAGUUCUCUUAUAUUUUCGAUUUCCAUUACGAGCCUCGUUUCUUAUCCAAAAUCACCACUAGCCAUUUGCUAGUGCCCAAUGGCUCUCUACCUGCCCCAGCAGGCGCCAUACUCUCAUCCUGCUAGCAUGCUCGGGUACCUACUUACUCGACCACUCGGUCCCUACUAUGUAAUGUAGUAAUAGUAGUAACUGACCAUAUGAUAAAUGCAUGCUAUGCAUCAACUUGAGAUCAUGCAAAGUAUAUGCUUGCUCAAUUAAUUCAUACCUGCUACAAUGACGUCAACAACAGCAGGCACCGCAACUCGGGUCGCUUAUCCAUGGCCACUUGGUGCUCGUCGCGAACCCUCUGAUUGCAUUGUUCUCAAUGGCCGCUCUCCUGACAAUGCCGCAGGUGGCACACCUGCAGGCUGUCCCAGAGAGGAAUAGGCCAUCGCUAGCGUCAAGGCCCGGCUAUCGCCUUUGCGGACACUUGUCCCGCACAUGGCCCGGCAGCCCACACCUGAAGCACUUGCCCUCACGCUGUUCACACUGCUGUGGGCAAUGAGGGCCCCCCCACAAAUAAUACAUCUCGCUGAGGACCAAAUGUGGUAAGUCCCCGGAGCUCGGGAUCGCGAGCGCGAACUUAUCAAAGUUCGUUGGGAACUU